GACGAACGCUGGCGGCGUGCUUAACACAUGCAAGUCGAACGGUGAAAGCGGAGCUUGCUCCGCUGGAUCAGUGGCGAACGGGUGAGUAACACGUGGGCAACCUGCCCCUCACUUCGGGAUAAUUCCGGGAAACCGGGGAAAAUACCGGAUAUGACCUCCUUGGGAAUCCGUGGAGGUGGCUAGUGUUUCGGUGUGGGGUGGGCCCGCGGCCUAUCAGGUUGUUGGUGAGGUACGGGCUCACCAAGGCCACGACGGGUCGCCGGCCGGAGAGGGCGACCGACCACACUGGGACUGAGACACGGCCCAGACUCCUACGGGAGGCAGCCGUUGGGAAUAUUGCGCAAUGGGCGAAAGCCUGACGCAGCAACGCCGCGUGCGGGAUGACGGCCUUCGGGUUGUAAACCGCUUUCAGCAGGGAAGAAGCCGCAAGGUGACGGUACCUGCAGAAGAAGCACCGGCUAACCACGUGCCAGCAGCCGCUGUAA
rnacentral:rRNA from 1 species